rnacentral:tRNA from 1 species
GAGGUGGUGGCUCAGUGGUAGAGUGCUUGCCUAGCAUGCAUGAGGCAUGGAGUUCCAUCCCCUGCA